UCAUAUAACUCAUUAUUCCUAUAGCAAAACAGCUGCGUUAAACACACGCACAACUCGUCCAAUAUUAUUAACAGUGUGUUCAUGCUUAAAUCGGAGGUGUUAUUUGCAGUUACCUGUUAAAGACAAGACAAUGAAGAGAAGGACGCAUUUGUGAUUGCUUCUCGUCUCUGCAUUUACUACUAAUGGAGCAUCACUGGCGCGACGCACGCGAUGACAUCAUCACGCUGGUAUGCCAAGCGGAAUUAUUUAUAUGAAUAAAUGCCCAUAAAACACACUCCUUUUUAAGCAUAAAGCACAGAUAAACAUUGUAACCAUACUUAACAGUAUUAGAGAAUUAACAAGCAAAGAAAGGCCUAUAGGACUCACUAUUACACUCCCCCCUACAGGAUAAAAUGUCGUCUCGACAUGUAAACACUUAUGAGACAAUAAACACAUUCAACAAUCCCUUUAUAUUUCCAUAGAUACUUAUUAUGCAAUACUAAUUAGUAGCGUUACUAAACAAAUAUCUGAUUUCUGUAUACAUUGUCAUUUUUUUUUACAUUUUUUUUUCACAUUCUCUCUUUUUCUCAGUCCAUAUCAAUGGGAUAGAAGAUGGCGUAACAGUCCAUUUGAAGCGUAGGCCGGCUUAACGUGGCUGUGUUCAGAGCCCUAAAACAGUCCAUGUUAUUUGUUCUCACACAAAAAAUGGUAAAGAGAUCUUCAAGGAAGAAAGAGAUUCAAAAAAUGUCAAAAAGAAAGUCUCAAAGUGAUCCCAAGUGUCCACAUUUUCAAAACUGUACAACAGUCCAUUUUAGUCCAUUUUUGCAAUAGUUUCUCACUAUGGGCAAUAACAGUCUCUGAGUAAUGUUCUGUAUAGUGGCAUUUCACACCUUAGACACAGGGACUAGUUAUGGGGGUGAAAUUCACGUGAGUGCAAUUUAAAGUUAAUAGCACACAUAUGACUGCUGGGGGCGACAAAGGGGUGUUGACCAGGGUGUCGCAGCGGUCAAUCCACUAGAUGCAAAGUGUGGGUAGUGGUUGUUGCCCACUAUCUGCACAGUGUAGCAUGAUGGGGACCCAAGAUUGUCAUAGGUAAACUUUUUAGGCGGUCGUCGUUUCCUCCUGGUAAGCUGGUACCCGUUUUCCCCCUCAGAGGUCCUGUCUCUGGGCCAAGGCACUGCAGCUGUUUCCCUAUCAGGUGAGUCUUGUUGCAUUAGGUCAGCAGUUGGUUCAUUUUCAUGCGGUCCUUUUCUUACUUCAGGUACAGACUCUGGGAGGUCCAUCUCUGACUCAGCUGGGAGUGACUGUGGCCUUGGUCCCACCACUGGAGAGUUAGAUCGAGGCUCAGAAGGUUUUACUUCGUAGACUGGAGCGCCAUCUGCCACCUGGCGUGUAACAACAUGAACCUCAUCCUCCCAGAAAUUUCUCAGUUUCCCGGUCCCACCUCUUGGAGUCAGGUAUUUUACGAGGACCCUGCUUCCUGGGAACAGUUCUUGUCGGAUUCAAGCCCGAAGAGAGCAUCGAUGGGCAACUUUGGUGAGCGUCCGAACAGCAAUUGGAAAGCUUUUUGUCUUUCAGUCAGGGUUUUCAGCAUCUGCAAUAAUGUCCGGUUAAACCGUUCCACCUGCCCAUUCCCCUGGGGGUGGUAGGGGGUGGUCCUUGAGCCGGCAACGCCGCUGUACUUUUUGAGUUGGAAGAACUUUGGCUGGCGAGUUGACUGAACGCCACUGCUGAGGAGGUCUAGAUCCUGCUUGUAAGUGUUCACUUAUUACUCUGAUGUCCUUGUCAUCCUUUUGUGCUUGUCUGA